AACAAUGGCAUAUCCAUUAUUCACUCUCCCUCAAGGGCUUCUGUUGGUUUUCUGGUCGACCGAAUGACCAAGUACCUACACGGAAGACCUUAGGGAGAGUGGAAAAUACUUGCCAUUUGAUUUC
rnacentral:sRNA from 1 species